rnacentral:rRNA from 1 species
UACGGGGGGGGUAAGCGUUGUUCGGAAUUACUGGGCGUAAAGGGCUCGUAGGCGGCCAACUAAGUCAGACGUGAAAUCCCUCAGCUUAACUGGGGAACUGCGUCUGAUACUGGAUGGCUUGGAUUCGGGAGAGGAAUGCGGAAUUCCAGGUGUAGCGGUGAAAUGCGCAGAUAUCAGGAGGAACACCAAUGGCGAAGGCAGCACUCUGGGACGUGACUGACGCUGAGACGCGAAAGCGUGGGGAGCAAACAGG